AGUGAACGCUGGCGGUAGGCCUAACACAUGCAAGUCGAACGGCAGCACAGUAAGAGCUUGCUCUUACGGGUGGCGAGUGGCGGACGGGUGAGGAAUACAUCGGAAUCUACUUUUUCGUGGGGGAUAACGUAGGGAAACUUACGCUAAUACCGCAUACGACCUACGGGUGAAAGCAGGGGAUCUUCGGACCUUGCGCGAUUGAAUGAGCCGAUGUCGGAUUAGCUAGUUGGCGGGGUAAAGGCCCACCAAGGCGACGAUCCGUAGCUGGUCUGAGAGGAUGAUCAGCCACACUGGAACUGAGACACGGUCCAGACUCCUACGGGAGGCAGCAGUGGGGAAUAUGGGACAAUGGGCGCAAGCCUGAUCCAGCCAUACCGCGUGGGUGAAGAAUGCCUUCGGGUUGUAAAGCCCUUUUGUUGGGAGAGAAAAGCAGCGGGUUAAUACCCCGCUGUUCUGACGGUACCCAAAGAAUAAGCACCGGCUAACUUCGU
rnacentral:rRNA from 1 species